rnacentral:piRNA from 1 species
UUUAGGAGGUUCUACAUGAGGC